AGUGAACGCUGGCGGUAGGCCUAACACAUGCAAGUCGAACGGCAGCACAGUAAUAGCUUGCUCUUACGGGUUGCGAGUGGCGGACGGGUGAGGAGUACAUCGGAAUCUACUUUUUCGUGGGGGAUAACGUAGGGAAACUUACGCUAAUACCUCAUACGACCUACGGGUGAAAGCAGGUGAUCUUCGGACCUUUCGCGAUUGAAUGAGCCGAUGGCGGAUUAGCUAGUUGGCGGGGUAAAGGCCCACCAAGGCGACGAUCCGUAGCUGGUCUGAGAGGAUGAUCAGCCACACUGGCACUGAGACACGGUCCAGACUCCUAGGGGAGGCCGCAGUGGGGAAUAUUGGACAAUGGGCGAAAGCCUGAUCGAGCCAUACCGCGUCGGUGAAGAAGGCAUUCGGGUUGUAAAGCCCUUUUGUUGGGAAAGAAAAGCAGCAGGUUAAUAAACCGCUGUUCUGACGGUACCCAAAGAAUAAGCACCGGCUAACUUCGUG
rnacentral:rRNA from 1 species